AUCAAUGAAGUUGGUGUUUGAAUGACGGGAGAGCUACUGAAGAGACACUGUUUUGAAGAUCUUGGCAUAGCAGAAACACUACCUCAUCUGCUGCCCUAUUUCUGCCUUCCUUCAGAAGACUUAGGCCUACAGAAAACCACCAUGUGCUGUCUGAGUCGAUAAUAUCCUCUGAGAAAAGGGAGCCUUAAAAUUUUGGUUUCUUGUUGCAAUACUAGAUAAUACCAGAAAGAAAAUCCAGAAUAACCUCCUUAUGUAACACAAGGUCAGUAAUGGUGAAACCAAUUGUAGUGUUUUAGAUUUAUAUUUUAGAUGUUUGCUUUAAAACACUUACACUCUGCUUCCAGAUUUCUGUGUUUGUGGAGUCCUAGUUCUGUCAAAAGGGAAAUGGUGAUAAAAUAUGCAUAGUAUUGUUAAUAGUACAAAGAUUACCCAGUACAAAAACCUCUUUAGAAAUUCAUGCCACAGACUGAGGAC
rnacentral:lncRNA from 1 species